UACAGAGGGGGCAAGCGUUGUUCGGAAUUACUGGGCGUAAAGGGCUCGUAGGCGGCCAACUAAGUCAGACGUGAAAUCCCCAGGCUCAACCUGGGAACUGCGUCUGAUACUGAUUGGCUUGAAUCCGGGAGAGGGAUGCAGAAUUCCAGGUGUAGCGGUGAAAUGCGUAGAUAUCUGGAGGAAUACCGGUGGCGAAGGCGGCAUCCUGGACCGGCAUUGACGCUGAGGAGCGAAAGCCAGGGGAGCAAACGGG
rnacentral:rRNA from 1 species